rnacentral:rRNA from 1 species
GCAAGGUGCACUUGGACUAAU